rnacentral:rRNA from 2 species
AGUGCUUGCACUCGCCAGCGACCGGCGCACGGGUGCGGAACGCGUAUGGAAUCUACCUCUUUCUGGGGAAUAUCCCAUGGAAACGUGGAUUAAUACCCCAUAGUAUUCAGAAAUCGCAUGAUUUUUGAAUUAAAGCUUUGGCGGAAAGAGAUGACCAUGCGUAUCAUUAGCUAGUAGGUGAGGUAACGGCUCACCUAGGCAACGAUGAUUAGGGGUCCUGAGAGGGAGAUCCCCCACACUGGUACUGAGACACGGACCAGACUCC